UGAUCUUCACAGGUGAGUUAAUGCUGGUGGUCUGGACUGCUGAAUUCCUGAUGAUUCUCGUCCUUUUUUGAGCCCCUGACGUGUUCUUCUUGUGAUCUUCUGAUUCUUUUCUCUUUCGGUGGCCCAGCUGCUGUUCUUCUUGUCUUUUUAUUCUUUAAUUCUCCGUGUGGUUUGAUGUCACUGAGAUGUCAAUUGUGUCAUUUCUAACACCUACCAGCAGGUGGCGAUGCUAGCAGGUCACUCUGCCAUUUUGAUCUGAAUGGUCAGCUCAGGUCAGAGGAGAGCUGGGAGUGGACAGCAGUAGUCAGAAGUAAUGGGGGUCACUUCACAGUCCACUCAGACCACCUCUGUGCCCAGGGGACUGGACUUUGUGAUGCUGAGUGUCCAUUCAGAGCUCAUCCACUGGCUUUAUUACAAAUUAGGAGAGAAAUUAGAAAACUGAGGUGACCAGCAGUGAGGCCUUUAGUGGACUGAGGUCAGCUGGUCAGUGGCACCGGUCAGCAUGUGACAUGUGAGUGUCAGAAGUGUCACAUGUCAGUCCUGUCCACCCUGUCCAUUAUGUCACUGAUCACACAGUUAGUCCAGUCUUUGUCACUAUAGACAGACAGAGGGUCCUCAUCGUCUAAGUGGUCUGACAUCAGUAGAGCCCACCAUGACAGACACUCGAGUGUCGUGCUCUCCGAUGUCCAGCAGUGACCGGCGUGUCUAACAGGAAUCUGUGGAUGGGGUCCUGCAAAUCAGUCAAAGCCCCUCCAUGUGCUGAGUCCUCAGUUACAGACACAAAUCCAAGGUGGUCCCUCUGCUGUCAUCGGCUUUGACAAGUCUGUCUGGCCCUCGAGUGCAGGACACUGUCAGCCUCAUGUCCUUCACAUUCCUGUCCACAUGUCACUUUGAGUGACGUGUCACCAGUCAGAGUGGCAGGAAGGCAGAAGACGCUGUCAGGUAUAUAGCGCCUUACCUUAUAAGGACAGCGGUGGUCUCAGGGUCAAAGUGCAUUUCAGUGAGGACAGCGCAGUCAUUGAGCCCUUGUGCUGUGUGUCCUUAUGUCUGUCUGUCCUCACUCAUCUCUCUUCUUCUUCUUCACAGGUUGAACUUUUGUGGUCUCACCUCGGCCUGCUGCUCAGCUCUCUCCUCGGUCCUCUCGUAUCCAGACUCACGGCUUACAUAUCUGGACCUGAACAACAACAAGCUGGGCGAUUCAGGGGCUCGUCAGCUGAGUGAGGGGCUCAGGAGUGACAACUGUAUAUUAAAGGAACUGUGGCUGUGGAGUAAUGGGAUCAGUAAGAGUGAGAAGAGGAACCUGAAGUCACUACAGGAGGAGCUGAGGAGGUCUGGACGUCAGCUGACUAUCAGUACAUCAAUUUUCUAGCUCUGGUGAUCAGACUGACCCCCUGUCAGUGACGGAGCCCCCGUCCACUCUCCCCUAAAUUCUCCUCUUUCUUCUUUUUCUUCUCCUGUCAGCUCUGCUCCUCAUUUAAUAAAUUCUCUGUGUCCCCUCA